CCUACGGGGGGCAGCAAUGGGGAAUAUUGGACAAUGGGGGCAACCCUGAUCCAGCCAUGCCGCGUGUGUGAAGAAGGCCCUCGGGUUGUAAAGCACUUUCAGUGAGGAAGAACGCCUGGUGGUUAAUACCCAUCAGGAAAGACAUCACUCACAGAAGAAGCACCGGCUAACUCCGUGCCAGCAGCCGCGGUAAUACGGAGGGUGCGAGCGUUAAUCGGAAUUACUGGGCGUAAAGCGCGCGUAGGUGGCUUGAUAAGCCGGUUGUGAAAGCCCCGGGCUCAACCUGGGAACGGCAUCCGGAACUGUCAAGCUAGAGUGCAGGAGAGGAAGGUAGAAUUCCCGGUGUAGCGGUGAAAUGCGUAGAGAUCGGGAGGAAUACCAGUGGCGAAGGCGGCCUUCUGGACUGACACUGACACUGAGGUGCGAAAGCGUGGGUAGCAAACAGGAUUAGAUACCCCAGUAGUC
rnacentral:rRNA from 1 species